GACGAACCGAGCGAGCGUUGUUCGGAAUCACUGGGCUUAAAGGGCGCGUAGGCGGGCUGUCAAGUCUGGGGUGAAAUCCCGCGGCUCAACCGUGGAACUGCCUCAGAUACUGACGGUCUCGAGGGGGAUAGGGGCGAGCGGAACUGUGAGUGGAGCGGUGAAAUGCGUUGAUAUUCACAGGAACUCCGGUGGCGAAGGCGGCUCGCUGGAUCUCUUCUGACGCUGAGGCGCGAAAGCUAGGGGAGCAAACGGG
rnacentral:rRNA from 1 species